rnacentral:lncRNA from 1 species
AAGAUUUUUUUUCCUAUUCAAUAUGUCUGCACUACAAUUCCUAAAUAUGGAAGACAAAACCAAACAAAAAUACCACUGAACUACCACCAGAAAAACCAACCCAUUAAGCUUAAUGAACCAUAAAGGCUCACAGCACAAAUUUCAAAUUGCAGGCAGAGGUAAUGCCUUCACAGUUGAAAUAACCACCAGUGUUUGACUGAGGCUGAGAAAACUGGCAAAGUAACUUGACAAUGAGUUACGUCAAGCAGAGUAAUCAAGGAGGAAAAAUUCAUGGGCAUCUUUUUUACGUUUCCAAACAAGGACAAUUACAGGAAACUUCAAAAAACAGCUGUCAAAACAUCAGUCCUUAUAUUAACCUCUAAACAGACAAGAUUACAAGGUGUUAUUUAGGAAUGUAUACAUUAUGUCCUUCAUGUCUUACCAUGAAAAUUUGGAAAGAAUACUAAGUAGGUCUUAGUUUGCAAAACUAAUUGCCGAAACUCCCAGAUCCUGUUUGCAUCUUUACCAUCCAUUUGUUGAAUGACCUUGAUUUGAAGUAUGUAUUCCUUUUACUUAACUACUUUCAAAGUGACUAUAAUAACAAUGUCACAUGACACGGGGACUCCCUCAAUUUUUAUUAUAUACUUUGAAGUCCUUAAAAACAAA